AAUAACAAUUAGGAUUCUGAAGAUUUAAACAUGCAGCAGCAUUAACAUCUCUGUAUUUCAUUUUUUUUUAUUAGCUGCUUAUCCUGCCCGAGCAAGAAAUGAUCUUCUGCAAUUAGGUGUCUCCACGAGUCGCAUUCCUUAUGCAUUCAACUACCUGUAUCAGUAGUUGGUCUUGGAGCAUGCAUGAACCGCGGACGGCACUGAAGGGUUCUCACGAGCCACUCUCAGCCACGGCUCAGAUCCAACCGGUCAGUCCUAGAGGAGAUCAACUCUGACUGCUCUUUGGAAGGCCA